rnacentral:misc_RNA from 1 species
AAAUCCUUGUUGAAUCCAUGUGCUUAUAAUGAUGUUAAGCCUAUCCUUAGUUAAUGUCUGCAGAUGCACAUGCUUUAGUCCUUGAUAAAUACCAAAAAGGUCAAGCACAGAGAAGACAGGGUACAUCACAAAUGGUAGACCAGCCUGCAAUCUUGGAUUAUUAGCAGACAGUAUGUUCAGGGUUGCAGCAAGUGUAAGACCAAGAUUAUCAAAGCAGACUGUUUGAAUCUGUCCUUUUGCAGAAACCUCGCCUAGGUUAUCAGCAAUUGCAAAGCUUCUAUGAACAGCAGUACUGGUUGCUAGGUAACAUGCAAGGCUUAUUUGCUUGGCAAUGUUGGCAAUUGAU